rnacentral:rRNA from 1 species
UACGGGGGGGGCAAGCGUUGUUCGGAAUUACUGGGCGUAAAGGGUUAGUAGGUGGCCAACUAAGUCAGACGUGAAAUCCCUCAGCUUAACUGGGGAACUGCGUCCGAUACUGGUUGGCUUGAGUUUGGGAGAGGGAUGCGGAAUUCCAGGUGUAGCGGUGAAAUGCGUAGAUAUCUGGAGGAACACCGGUGGCGAAGGCGGCAUCCUGGACCAAUACUGACGCUGAGGAGCGAAAGCCAGGGGAGCAAACGGG